UCAACAGUGCGGUCUAACCGCUUUGCGAGCCGCAGAGAUGCUCGUGUGAGCUCGGGGUGACCCGCGCAGGCUUCCCGAGGGAGCGCGGACUGCUCCGGCGGAUUCUGCCCUGGCUGUUCGCCGCGCAGGAAUGGGCUGUAGUCAGACGAUCAGGGGCGGUAACCUUUUCUAAUAACCACCCCAGGCUUUGGCACCUAACGCUCUGGCACUGUCUAGGGAAGCUCUUUAUGCUCCUUGGCGCUGCUCGUCAAGACAAGUCGCUCGUCUCAUUUUGCCGGGACAUCGGACACUGCCCGUCUGAUCGCUCAGCCCCGUGGGACCCAGCGCGUGCCCCGCAGAGCGCUCCGAGAGGGGUCGGACUGCCUCCGACACAGUCCGAAGACAGCGACCCCGCCUUCUGCUGGCACUCUGGAGGGCUAAGGAAUCCUGAAGACUGGGUCUUCAGAAGGGAAGUAUGAAAGCCUCCAUGUAAGUAAAAACCUCCUAAGACUCUAAAUAUCAAGAAAGGUUGGAUAUUUUUGUGGAGACACUUAAAAUGCUCAGUUUGUCAGUUACCACCAUGAGCUUUCUUCUUCUAGUUUGUAUUAUGUUCGCAUUGACUUGUUCUAUGUGUGUACCAUAUAUAUUUCUUUUUUAAAAAAAUUUAUUCAUUUAUUUGUGAGAGAGAGAAAGAGCAAGAGCAGGGGAAGGGAAGAGGGUGAGGGAGAAGCAGAUUCCCUGUUGAUCAGGGAGCCCAACACUGGCUCUGUCCCAGGACCCUGAGAUCAUGGCCCAAGCUAAAGGCAGAUACUUAACCGACUGAGCCGCCCAGGCGCCCCUGCAUUUUUCUGAUCUGGGUAGAUAAACCACAUUUAUAGAUUUAAAGAAGAUUGUAUCAGCUGCUGCCGGGAAGUUUUUCCUGAGUCAGUUGAGAACCUGUGAAACUUAACCCUUGACGUUUCACUAGCUGCAGUUUGUAAUAAAAUCAGCUUUCAUCUCAAACAUGGCUGUAUGGUCCUAACAGUACAGUAGAAAGAAAGGGCAAGCCCUAGUCUUCUUUCUGACAUCCCUAAAGUUUAUAUUGUGGCCUUAACUGAAGGACUUCUUGCCUUGGCCAAUAAAAAUCAUUGCAAAUUUUAACACUUGCCUUCAACCAAAAAUAAAAUUACAGGACCUUAUUAUUUUUCCAGUGCUCUUAAAGAUUUAAAGUUUGGUCUGGGGGCUUCCUGAGGGCAUGGACUGUGUCUGAGUCAGUCACCAUUUUACCCACAGGCACUUACUUGGUGCCUGGAGCACCAUAUGGAAAGUGACCAAUGAAUGAAAUGAGUGAAUGAAAGGAAAGAUAGAACCAGAGUCACAUUUUAGUGGCCUACCUGUAUGUUUUCAGGGAAAAUGGCGUAUUUAAAAGGGGACAGAGAUAACACAUCUCUAAAAGGAGAUGAAUGGCAUAUUUAACACUUCCCAAGAAGACAGAAUCCAGCUUCUAUCGCUUGAUCUAGGUCUUUGAUUACAGAGCCACUGAGAAUUCCCCGUGGCUGAAUAUGGAUGAAACUUUAAGGCAAGCUGAAGGCCUGGGCGGCCCUGUGGACAUCAAUACUCCCAUGGAGCACUUUCCAAGAAGAAAAGUGUGGGCUUGCCGGUCUUUUCAUCAAAACUCCUAGAAUCUGGCUGACUGCCUGGUUUAUCCCAGGACAUUAGUCAGCCCACAAAUCCCACAUUUGUUUAUUCAGUCCAGAGCAAGUGAAUACUGCCAUUCUCCCAUCUCCUUUGUUGGCAAAUGCUUUGUUAACCUGAAUUGAGCUCUGCAACACAAAAUGAAGUGACUAAUCUUUCGGGGGGUUUCCCCCUCCCAGAUUCUUGUAUGAGCAACUGAGUCGAUAGGCCACAAAGCCUCAUACUGUCCUUUCCCUCAUGCUGCCCUUUUAUUCUGAUGGGUCCACAUUGUACUUAAGGAAACCAAUACCUUCCAGAGUGUGGUUGAAGUGGCGCCACCAUUAAGAAAAGGAGGUUACGGGACUUUUUAGUCUUGUGAGAAAAUGUUAGCCAGCAAAGAGGUUGGGUUGAUUAUUUAUACUGGGGCAAUCUACUCCUGGGCACUGGCGAUAGGUGUCACCUCGCUCACCUCGCACGCUCAGAAAUCUUUCUGAUUUGUAAUAUGCGGGUCUGAAAGUGCAGGAAGGAGGAAUUUUAGCACAAACGCCCAGUUUGGAUGAUCACAACAUUACUAUGUGGUGGGUCUGGAAUACAACCUAAAAAGGAGGGAUAUACUUAAUCACUGGGCUGUUUGUCCAUUUGCAAAGAUCUGGAAGGACCUGGACUUUUUAGUGAAAGUAUAAGGAUCUGUAUUUCUGAAUUGCCAUUGACCUUGAAAGAGCGGUUAGUCUGGAAGACAACUGAGGUGGAACGUAGUACGCCAUAGAAGAGGGCAUAAAGGGAAUCAUACUGACGUCCUUGCCAUAAAUCCCAGCCAUUUUUAUGGCAGGUUGCACAUAGAAGCUUGGCAGGUGAUUCUCAUUCAUCGUUAGGCCUAUGGAAAUUCUAUUUGGUUCAUGAAGCUUUGACUGUGUUUCCCAUCGAUAACCUGCUUUUCUCUCUCCUGUUCUUCCAACUCUGGACCAGAGCUACCUUCCAGAUGACUUCUUUCUAACACACUCAUCCUCCCCCGUAUCAGAGAAUUCAAGUACAUGCUGAUGUUGGAAGGAAGAACACUCAAGAAUUGUUGCCCGACCUAUAACCCAAGGCUUAAAUUGGUACAGUCUUUUUUAGCUUUUUAGAGUGAGGUUCAGGGGUCACAAAUGUUGUUUCAUCCACGAGACUUUUGCAGAUUGUUAUUUUCAUACCCGAGAUCUUGAGGAACAUCAGUCAAAUGGUUUUUAAAGGGGCGCCUGGGUGGGUCAGUCGGUUAAGCAUCUGUCUUUGGCUCAGGUUGCAAUCUCGGGGUACUGGGAUCGAGCCCCAUAUCAGGCUUCUUGCUCAGAGGGAAUCUGCUUCUCCCUCUCCCUCUGUUCCUCCCUAUCCCUCUGUUCCUCCCUCCUGCUCAGUGCCUGUUUGUGCUCUAUCUGGCUUUCUCUUUCUCUCUCUCUUAAAUAAAUAAUAAAUCUUUUAAAAAAUGGUUUUUAAAAUAGGCAUUAGUUCAGGAUCUAUGAAGACAAGGACUGUCUGCAUUACAUGGUCUUAAAAAAAAAGAAUUUAAAAAAAGAUUUGUUUUCUGGGAAUGAUCACUCCUACUGUUUUGUUAUAGAGGGUCAGGAAAUGCGUAAAAAAUUCCUGGGCUUGGGUGCAGAUGAUGCUUGUGCUGGCAAACAGAAACCUAAAGUGAUAAAAGAUUUUUGUCCUUUGUAGAUACUUCUCCAGACUUGAGUUUUGUGUUUUUGGAUUUGACUCAUUGAAAAUCUUCAUUGAGCACUUAAUGCAUGCCAAAUAUUCUGCUACAUUGUGAGGGGUUGUGAGGCCUUUACUAUAGUCCAGAUGGGAUACAGGUAGAAUGGAGAGAGAAUACAUAUACAUAUACUGAUAGCAGAAAACAAAAUAAAAUACAGUGUACAAAGGGCUAUGAGAGAUUAUGGUGGAAGAGGGCAUAUUUUAUUAGUGGAGUCAGGAAAUGCAUUUCCAAGGUCAUGGCGUUCUUGCUAGGUCAAAAGUCUAGGAUGCUGGCAGAUGAGGGAGGCAAUCCCAAUGCAAGAGAAAAGAGCAGAAGCACACGGUUGUAAGAAAGGGGAAGGGAGCUGUGAGUAUUGCCAUACUGGGUGGAGGCAGGGAAAUGAAGGCCGGCUGUCUGAGCCUCAUGCACACAGCUGGCCGUGCAGCCUUCUUUGAACCAUUGUUUGCUCCAGAAUCAUGGCACCUCUUGGCUCUUCACCAGUCUUAGCUGGCCAGUGCUUCUUGGUCGCCUCACCCGAAGGGCUAUCGAAGAACUUCAGCAUCCAAUUGUUCCUAAAUUGCUAUCACUUAAAUAUUCAAUAUUUAACUUCUAUAUGCUAGUGGUCUCUAACUUGGUUAAGUCUCCCCAGCCCCAUGCCCUGACCUCUAGGCUCUACAUCACAUUGUCUAUUGAAAAUUCCACUUUGACUUCUAAAUUUCUAGGCCCAAAUUAGAACUCCUGAUUCUCUGCUCCCACAGCCCCUCUACUUUGCUCCUGGAAAUCUUCCUCUUUUACCAGUCUUCCCCAUCUGAGUUAAUAAGACUGCCACCUACCUAGUUGCUUAGGCCCCCAACCUUGGAGGUAGUCUAGAUAUGGCCUUUCUCUCACCCUUACCAUAUUUUGAGUUCCCCUCUACCUCACCCAAACAAGCAACCGUUAUUUUUUGUUAUAAGCCUAUGGUAGUAUAUCUUGCCUCCAAAUGCACAUGAAUCACUCUG
rnacentral:lncRNA from 1 species